rnacentral:lncRNA from 1 species
AAAUUCAUGAGCAACAUUGGUCUAUAGGUCUUUCUUUUUUGCACUGCUAUUGUCUAGCUUUGGUAUCAGGGCAACACCAACUUUAUAAACUAUCCUCUAUUAUACUUCCAAGAAAAUAUGAAGUAGAGCUGGGCUUAAUCAUUUAAAUUUUGAUAGAAUGCUGUUGUGAAACCUCUGAGCCUAGAGAUUCUUCCAUUCAGGUUUAAGUUUUUCUAUUAUGAAUUUUUUAAAAAAUAAUUUGUAUUUCUUUUAUUUCAUGUGCCCCAUUCUUUUUUUCAAUUAAAAGGUACCAUAAAGGAGCAGACUCAAAUAAAGAAAAUCCACGCUCCGGUAUUCCAGCUGGCACCUGAGGCCGGCCGGCUGGAUGCAGCCCUGAGCAUCUGUGUCCCGUUGCCUUAUAGCCUCCUCCCAGCACAGA